UAAGUGAUGACUCUGCAGAUUAACAGAGGCUAGAUGCUUACUGGCACAGAGAGAUGCUUCUCAGAGAUGCUAAAUCAAGUACCCUGGACUAAAAGAAACUCUCACAUCCUCCUCAGGUGAGGUUUCUGGAUGCAUUUCCCUGUCACAGUACCCUAUGCCAUUGGUGUAAGAAACUAUUUGAAACUACUGAGUUUCAUCCCAUUCAGCAAUUAAUCAUGGCUUACCCAGUCCAUUUCCUUCAUCAUUUUUAAUGUCAUGACUCAUCGGGUGGAUGGAUCUGUUUCAGAGGGCCAAUUCCCAGCAGGAUAGCAUCCAGGGCAGACUUCCUGUGCCGUGGCUCUGUUGUCUAGCCUUUUAAGGAUGAAGACUUGACAUGCAUCAGAGAAGUACAAAAUGGAAUUACUGCCCAAGUGAGCUUCGAGACAUAAUUAAUGUAUAGCAAAGAGAAUCGUAACUCCAUGUCUGAGAGUAGAUCUUGAUUGUGUUAGACAGAGUUGAGGGUUGAGAAUGGUGAAAGAUGAGUGUAUUAAGUAAGAAUUUGUCAGGAAGGAAUCCUCAGCCCAUGACUGAAAGCUCCCUGGCAAGGGUACAGGGAAGAGUUCUAUCUGGUUUGGAUGCUUACCAUAAGCUUGGGCCUGGGGAAAGGGAAGUCAUGCAUUAAAUUAAGUAGACAUGACAGAAAUGCUUUGGCGGAAUUUUGAUCAAGAGCUCAAAGACCCAGAGAAGCAAACUGCAUGCUGGAGUUUUUCUGUUAUGUAACAGCAGCUGACUGUUAACUGGAGGGAUUUGAGCUCACGCUUACCUCUAAGCUGGCCAGGACCAAGCUAGGAUUGAGAGUGCUAUUCUUGAGCACGAGGGUCAAGGCCCUGCUUACAAGAAAUGUGUACAGCAGAGAUUUCAGUACAUACAACUUUACAUAUUUCACAUUGAACUUAACAUUUUAAACUUAAACUCAGCACUUACACUGGAAACAGUCUAUGCAAAUUUUCCUUCUCAGUUUUGGAAUACUCUGGAAUUCUACUUUCAUAUGAAUGAUAAUUUAUAUGUUAGAUUUCAAAAAAGGAUCCUUAUGUGGUCCCCAAUUUUGGUUAGUUACCCUUCUCUAUACAGCUUUCUAGCUUACCUACUGCCUAGUUUUGAGUGGUUGUUUUAAUUUAUGUCUAAAGAAGUAAGUUUUCCCAAAUAGUCCCCUAGACCCUUGCAAAUAAGAUUAAUAUCUUAUGCCUCAGAAUUUGUUGAGGCAUUCUAUGCCUAACAAAUUAUUUAUUAGAAUUUUCCAUCUAUUAUUUUAAUAUUUCCGUUUAUUAAGUGUGACAUACCUGUGCUUAUCAUUGUUAAUUGCAAUGUAAACAUUACAACACUCAUACAUCAGCUCUUUAAUUGGCUGAAUCACUUUAAAUCCUUGAGAUAAGCUUAAUUAGAUAGUAGAUUUACUAUGGAAUGAUAAACUGGAAUGUGUAAACACACAUUAAUAAAGCCAGUUGUUUGCUCUGCAGCCUGAAAAUUAAGUUAUCAAUAUCAGAUAAGUGAAAAGAAAAAACGGUCUGUUCAAUAAAAUACACUCUUGAAAUUUAGGCUCUUGUGCAGUAAUUUUGUCAUCUAUUUCUUUACAAUGUCUAACAAAGCACUGUUGCCAUCAGAGGGCCCUUCCAUAACUUACCACACCAAACUGGAAAAUGCGAUUAUGUGUUUCAUAAGGAUAUUAUCAACAUGUCUAACCCAGCUAGACUUGAAAGACUGUUGAGAUCGUGUACCAGAUAACAGAAUUUAUUGCAGCAUACUGUAGUUCUCAUAAGCGUAGAUAAAUGGAACGUGUGUGUGUGUGUGUGUGUGUGUGUGUGUGUGUACACAAGUGUGUGUGCCAGCAUGUGCACAUGCCUGCAUGUGCCUCUAUACUCAUCACACAUGUGGAAUUUUCAAGAACAGAAACUUGUGUGCAAACAAUCAAAGUGGAUAUGCUGUUAGCAAAAAGAUGGCUUUAAAUUUCUGAGUGUUCCAACCAAAUGAUUUCAUUUGAAGAGUGAUAUAAUAACUUCAAAGAAAUACUUAAUUUUAGUUCGUUGACUAAAUCAGGCCACCUCUCCUUUGACUGGCCCUGACUUCCGGUUUCUUCUGACAUUUGCUAUUACUUGGAGGUUGGAACGAAGCCACUAACUUCACUUUCUCACUCAAGCAAGCUUCCUGGCUUGACAAUGGAGCCCUUACUAAAUGGUCAGUAUAGCUUUUAAAGUGUUUCAUCCGCUUUGGAAUUCCAGGAUCUGAGAGCAAACAGAAUAUGGUGCUUCUGCUUUGGGUGUUCCUGCUUUUGAAACCCCAAGUCGUGUUGUAUAAUUAUUUCUAUGUUAACCACACAGGAAGUGCCUUGGCAGUUUAGACCCAGAGGAAACACUCAUGGGGCACUGCAGAUCUUCCAGGCACCAGUGUUAACACACCUCACUUACAGAAUCCCAAGCUGUUGUCUCUCUUGCUUUCUUCACCUUAG
rnacentral:lncRNA from 1 species